rnacentral:rRNA from 1 species
AUGAACGCUGGCGGCGUGCCUCAUACAUGCAAGUCGAGCGAACAGAUGAGGAGCUUGCUCCUCUGACGUUAGCGGCGGACGGGUGAGUAACACGUGGAUAACCUACCUAUAAGACUGGGAUAACUUCGGGAAACCGGAGCUAAUACCGGAUAAUAUAUUGAACCGCAUGGUUCAAUAGUGAAAGACGGUUUUGCUGUCACUUAUAGAUGGAUCCGCGCCGCAUUAGCUAGUUGGUAAGGUAAUGGCUUACCAAGGCAACGAUGCGUAGCCGACCUGAGAGGGUGAUCGGCCACACUGGAACUGAGACACGGUCCAGACUCCUACGGGAGGCAGCAGUAGGGAAUCUUCCGCAAUGGGCGAAAGCCUGACGGAGCAACGCCGCGUGAGUGAUGAAGGUCUUCGGAUCGUAAAACUCUGUUAUUAGGGAAGAACAAAUGUGUAAGUAACUAUGCACGUCUUGACGGUACCUAAUCAGAAAGCCACGGCUAACUACGUG